CCUAAGUGGACAGUUUGAUUUCACAGAAGUGUGAUUGACUUGGAGUUACAUUGUGUUGUUUAAGUGCUCCCUUUAUUUUUUUGAGCAGUGUAUAUAUAAAUGGAUAAAAUUCAUAUGAUAAUAUAAAAUAGGCUACUAUGAGCAUAAUGAUAUAAAAAUGUAUUUAAAACGAGGUGUCUACAUAAAGAUAAGUUCUUGAAUGUAUCAUCAUGUGAUCGGCUUAGUUCAGGAACAAUGCUCCUUGGGAAAUGUAGUUUGUGUAACUGGCUGUGUGAGUGCUUGCCGGCGUGAUAGGGGCGCACUCACACAGCAUGGGCUUGGAAACAAGCAGUAGGUUUAACCACUCGGGGAUGUAAACGUCUGAAAAGGGGAGGAGUUAGGGAGGGGGGAUGGUGCGGCGAUCUUAAUAAUUGGCCGCUCGGGUGCAAGGGCGGAUUGUGGGCGGUACUAAAUAACCAUGCCGUCAAGAACAUCCAUAUUGGGAGGGGAUUUAAGUAAAGGAAGCAAUGGUGGCCAUAUUGGAAGGGGAAUUAAGAGAUAAUAAUUGUGUAUGAACUGGUACAUUUUAUAAAAAAAUUGACAUAGUAAUACACUGAUAGCAUAUACAUUAAAUAUCCUUAAAAUGUACAUAUAAUAUCUUAGAAAUUCUACCACAUUUGCAUAUAUAAUAUUUAAA